rnacentral:pre_miRNA from 1 species
AAACUUUUUGUUUGCUUUUAUGUUUUGGAUUGGAAUAUAUAAGACGAACAAAAGGUUUCU